rnacentral:tRNA from 12 species
CAUAGCUCAGUCGGUAAAGCAUUGGCAUGCUAGGCCAAAGGUCGUUGGUUCAAGUCUUCCC